UUCAAAAUUUCAGUAGAAAAUGAAUUGAUGAGUUAUGUUUGAAAUAACUUCCACCAUUCCUUAUACAAGCACGUGCCCUCUAUUUUAUAUCUUCAGUUGUUACUUCCUGCCUGAAAUUCACUCUCAAUCUGCUCGUUGCUUCAUCUAUUCUAACGGUGUUAGAUUCGGACUCCUCGCCACGGCCUGGCCACGAAAAUAAUCUAACAUUGUAACAAAAUCUGGCCAACGUAGACAAAAUUGACGAAAACUGAGGUUAGGUGAGAAAUCUUUCGAAAAUCACAAGAACUCAAAUAUCUCGUAAACUGUUGAUUUUCGGUUAUCACUAUAAAUGGCUCAAACGACAGCAAAAGAGUCAUACUAACACGUCUUCCAAGGUCCACGUCUGAUUUGGAAAUACCCUGUAUAUAUUAUAUUAGAUAUAUUUUCUUUCAGAAUUCAUAAAUUGUAUUCUCAAAUAGCAGGAUAAAGGUCAUACUGAGUUUUCCAAUAAGAGGUCAUUUUGAAUAGCCCACUAUAUGGGCACUGUCACUUUUGAAGCUAUCAUGUUUGACAUCUGACAAGUAAAAAUAUUCCGAUACUAAAAAUGGUAAGAUACAUAUUUCAAUCACUAAAUUGGAAAAUUUUGCAGUCACAGUUCGCAAUACUAAAGCACUUUUGUUAACAAAAACCCAGGUUUCUCGAUUCCUCGUCGAUCUUGGGAAUGAGUCAUUCUACAAACGACUAAUAUUACACCAUAUUUGGCACAAAGACUUAGGUCUUUUAUAGUUCAGACUAGAACUCAAGCUGCUCGAUCGCCGGUUACUUUGAAAGUUGAAAUGCAUCAAAAUGAACCGGAUUUUUAUGGAAAAAACAUCUUCCGUGAUGAGGCCCAUUCUCACCUCGGAGGCUACUUUGAUAUGAAGAAUUGUUGAAUUUGGGGCUAGGAAAACCCAAAAAUGAUUGUUGAAAAUCCUAUCCAUCGUCAACGUGUCACUGUUUGGUGCGGUUUUUGGACUUGUGGUGUGUUUGAACUAAUUAAAAAUAAGGUUAUGUUUUGGGACCACAAAAAAUGAUUGAAAAUAACAAGGAAGUAGAAAGGUGAUGACGGCGGAUAUCUUUGAAGGAUUUUUAUACCUACGAAAAAAAGGGAUGCGAAAUGAAGAAGAGUUGGACAUAAUGUGGGAAUUUCGAAUGUGAAGUUAACAUAAAAAAGUUUAUAGUACUUUUUUUAUUAGAUAUACAAAAAAUGGUACAUAUUUCGAAGUGUUCGACAUCAGGAAAACGGUGGACCAGAUUGAGUCAAAUCGAAAUAUACUGAAAGGUCCGUCGAAAACGCUUUGGACCGCAAGGAUCCACAACAUAACGGGUCCAUACAUGGUACUCACAUUUUGGUCGCUGGUUCUCCCAGAAAACGAUCGCGUUACAUCAAGCGGUCUUAGGUACCUUUUGAGAGCAUUUUUCACCGUUUUCAGCCUUUUGGCAAGCGAUAGAAGGCGUGAGAACAUCCGUCGAUCAAUUUUGGAUUUGCUUCGAGAGUUUUACCUGCUUGGAGCUUUUUCCGUAAACAUAUUGAACGCGGAAGAAAAGUAACAGUAAGAGUUUUGUCCUAUUAUAAUUUUAUUAUUUGAGUUUGAAUAUUAUAACAAUAAAGAG